rnacentral:rRNA from 1 species
UACGUAGGGGGCAAGCGUUGUCCGGAUUCAUUGGGCGUAAAGCGCGUGUAGGCGGCCAGGUAGGUCCGGUGUGAAAACUCGAGGCUCAACCUCGAGAGGUCAUCGGAAACCAUCUGGCUAGAGUCCGGAAGAGGAGAGUGGAAUUCCCGGUGUAGCGGUGAAAUGCGCAGAUAUCGGGAAGAACACCCGUGGCUAAGGCGGUUCUCUAGUACGGUACUGACGCUGAGACGCGAAAGCGUGGGGAGCGAACAGG